rnacentral:rRNA from 1 species
UAGCGACAGGCCUAACACAUGCAAGUCGAGGGGCAGCACAAGGAGCAAUCUGAGGUGGCGACCGGCGCACGGGUGAGUAACACGUAUGCAACCUGCCUGUAAGCGGGGAAUAACCCGUUGAAAGACGGACUAAUACCGCAUAAUACUAAAUUACUGCAUGGUAAUUUAUUUAAACAUUUAUGGCUUACAGAUGGGCAUGCGCAUGAUUAGCUAGUUGGAGAGGUAACGGCUCCCCAAGGCAACGAUCAUUAGGGGUUCUGAGAGGAAGGUCCCCCCACACUGGUACUGAGACACGGACCAGACUCCUACGGGAGGCAGCAGUGAGGAAUAUUGGUCAAUGGACGAGAGUCUGAACCAGCCAAGUCGCGUGCAGGAAGAAUGUUCCCUAUGGAUUGUAAACUGCUUUUGCAGGGGAAUAAAGUGCAUCACGUGUGAUGUUUUGUAUGUACUCUGCGAAUAAGGAUCGGCUAACUCCGUGCCAGCCGCCGC